rnacentral:tRNA from 1 species
GCAGGCAUGGCGGAAUUGGCAGACGCGCUAGACUUAGGAUCUAGUGCCGUGAGGCGUGGGAGUUCAAGUCUCUUUGCCUGCACCA